UACAGAGGGUGCAAGCGUUAAUCGGAGUUACUGGGCGUAAAGGGCGCGUAGGCGGUCUAAUAAGUGAGAUGUGAAAUCCCUGGGCUUAACCUAGGAACUGCAUCUCAUACUGUUAGACUAGAGUAUUGUAGAGGGUAGUGGAAUUUCCGGUGUAGCGGUGAAAUGCGUAGAGAUCGGAAGGAACACCAGUGGCGAAGGCGGCUACCUGGACAAAUACUGACGCUGAGGCGCGAGAGCGUGGGGAGCAAACAGG
rnacentral:rRNA from 1 species